rnacentral:misc_RNA from 1 species
GAGGAAGGAGAAGUCGUAACAAGGUUUCCGUAGGUGACCUGCGGAAGGAUCAUUGUCGAAUCCUGCAAAGCAGACGACCGCGAACAUGUUAUCAAUUCCCUCGGGGCUCGCGGCGAAUCUUGUCUUUGACGGACUUUUCGUCGCGAGUUCCGUAAUAUAACUAAACACCGGCGCGGAUAGCGUCAAGUAUCACGCAAACUUGUGCCCCGCGCGCUGCAAGCCCCGAUCGCGGGAGACGUGCAGUGUGCGGCGGCGACAUUAUCGUUUAACCAAAACGACUCUCGGCAACGGAUAUCUAGGCUCUCGCAUCGAUGAAGAACGUAGCGAAAUGCGAUACUUGGUGUGAAUUGCAGAAUCCCGUGAACCAUCGAGUUUUUGAACGCAAGUUGCGCCCGAAGCCACUAGGCCGAGGGCACGUCUGCCUGGGCGUCACGCAUCGCGUCGCCACCCCCAUCGCCCCUCUCUCGAGUUAGGCGCGGGGUGACGGAUGUUGGCCUCCCGGGCAACGUUUGUUGCGCGGUUGGCCUAAAUGCAAGACUCUGGCUGGCUGGAGGACACA